rnacentral:lncRNA from 1 species
GACGUUGAUAUUUCUCGAGAUUCAUUUGGUUGUUGGGACUUCAAACCCCCUUCGGCCAAAUUGAUCAAAAGGUAACGACUAGGUUUGAUGCCUUAGCCAAUACCUCUGGACCAUGAGCUUUUACUAGAACCACACUGUCCAUGGCCAUUCCUUUGGAUUCGACCACCUUCCUCUCUUACUUAACUUAGUUGCGCAGUUCUGUUGUACCAAAGCCCAAUUUUGUUAUGAUCACAGAUGGAGCUGGAAUGAUGUGUGCACCACGAUUAUUAAAGAGGCAUGGGAGAGGAAUGGCAGCUCCACCGAAGCAGUCUUCAA